CCUACGGGAGGCUGCAGUGGGGGAUAUUGCACAAUGGGGGAAACCCUGAUGCAGCGACGCCGCGUGUGGGAAGACGGUCCUCUGGAUUGUAAACCACUGUCCCCAGGGACGAAGAUGACGGUACCUGGGGAGGAAGCUCCGGCUAACUACGUGCCAGCAGCCGCGGUAAUACGUAGGGAGCGAGCGUUGUCGGGAAUUACUGGGUGUAAAGGGAGCGUAGGCGGGACUGCAAGUUGGGUGUCAAAUCUACCGGCUCAACCGGUAGCCGCACUCAAAACUGCAGUUCUUGAGUGAAGUAGAGGCAGGCGGAAUGCCUAGUGUAGCGGUGAAAGGCGUAGAUAUUAGGAGGAACACCAGUGGCGAAGGCGGCCUGCUGGGCUUUUACUGACGCUGAGGCUCGAAAGUGUGGGGAGCAAACAGGAUUAGAUACCCUGGUAGUC
rnacentral:rRNA from 1 species